rnacentral:ribozyme from 1 species
AUGACUCGUGGUAUGGUAAAAUCGAAAUGGAUUAUCUUAAACCAGAUAAAUGGGUAAUCUGCAGCCAAGCACCGUCUUAACUAAACAACUAAACGGUGUGCAGUUCAUCGACUAAACGUUGGUUGGCGCAAGCUUAAGAUAUAGUCAGGCCCCUUUCGAAAGAAAGCA